rnacentral:rRNA from 1 species
GGGGCAUCGAAUGAGUUCUGGGUCACCUCCCACCCGUGUUUAUUUUACCUUGUUGCUUCGGCGGGCCCGCCUUAACUGGCCGCCGGGGGGCUUACGCCCCCGGGCCCGCGCCCGCCGAAGACACCCUCGAACUCUGUCUGAAGAUUGAAGUCUGAGUGAAAAUAUAAAUUAUUUAAAACUUUCAACAACGGAUCUCUUGGUUCCGGCAUCGAUGAAGAACGCAGCGAAAUGCGAUACGUAAUGUGAAUUGCAAAUUCAGUGAAUCAUCGAGUCUUUGAACGCACAUUGCGCCCCCUGGUAUUCCGGGGGGCAUGCCUGUCCGAGCGUCAUUGCUGCCCUCAAGCCCGGCUUGUGUGUUGGGCCCCGUCCCCCGAUCUCCGGGGGACGGGCCCGAAAGGCAGCGGCGGCACCGCGUCCGGUCCUCGAGCGUAUGGGGCUUUGUCACCCGCUCUGUAGGCCCGGCCGGCGCUUGCCGAUCAACCCAAAUUUUUAUCCAGGUUGACCUCGGAUCAGGUAGGGAUACCCGCUGAACUUAAGCAUAUCAAUAAGGCGGAGGAA